GGGCCAGUAGCUUAGUCUGGUGGAGUGCCCGACUGAUAAUCGGGUGGUCCGGAGUUCAAAUGCGGUCACUGACGUUCGG
rnacentral:tRNA from 2 species